ensembl:lncRNA
UAUGACCUGGAGUGUAGCCAGGGCCUGGAUCCUUCAGACUUGACAAUCAGCAUUCCAGCAGUACACGUAAUGAAACAGCAUUGGCCAAUAGGAGAGGCUCACAGAGUAUAUAGGGUAGGCAGCCUCAGUAAGUCAGGAAAAAAAAAAAAAAAAAAAAAAACAAUGGAAAUUUGCUCUAUAUAUUUUCAGCCAUUUGUUUACUUUUGUUCAUCUGCUUUCUUCUUGCACAUCAGUGGAGUAAAACCUCUGGACCCACGAUUCAAAAAUCGUGUCUGGUGGUGUCACCUUUCACUGGUCCAAUCACCAAAAACAUAAUUAAAAAAACGUGCCUUCCUCAGCAACUCACUGCUGAUCAAGAACAACUACAAGAAACUGCGAAAUAUGCAGUAGAUACUGUGUCUGGAUUCCUGGAAACAGUACAGUACAAAACUGACCAAAAGAAUUGGCUCAUGAAGAACUUGACCAGAAGAAUUCAGUGAAUUAUUCAAGUGAAUAAUUUCACUUGAAGUUUUUUUUCUUUAAAUAAACUUUUUAUAUUUUUUUAAUCAAACUGUGUGCUGUUAUUCCUCCCUUAUAAAACACGUGCUGCUGGUGUUUAUACAUUUGAAGUAAAUUAAGUGUGUAAAGUGGUUUGAGGACCCACCAAAUGAAAUGAAAUCAAUUUUAAACUCUG